UGGCCUAAUACAUGCAAGUCGAGCGAAUGGCAUUAAGCAGCUUGCUCUUAUGUAAGUUAGCGGCGGGACGGGUGAGUAACACGUGGGUAACCUGCCCAUAAGUACUGGGCAUAACUCCGGGAAACCGGGGCUAAUACCGGAAUAACAUUUUGAACCGCAUGGUUCGAAAUUGAAAGGCGGCUUCGGCUGUCACUUAUGGAUGGACCCGCGUCGCAUUAGCUAGUUGGUGAGGUAACGGCUCACCGAGGCAACGAUGCGUACCCGACCUGAGAGGGUGAUCGGCCACACUGGGACUGAGACACGGCCCAGACUCCUACGGGAGGCAGCAGUAGGGAAUCUUCCGCAAUGGACGAAAGUCUGACGGAGCAACGCCGCGUGAGUGAGGAAUGCUUUCGGGUCGUAAAACUCUGUUGUUAGGGAAGAACAAGUGCUAGUUGAAUAAGCUGGCACCUUGACGGUACCUAACCAG
rnacentral:rRNA from 1 species